rnacentral:tRNA from 2 species
GGAGCCGUGCCUGAACCAAAGGGCCACUUUGAUAGAGUGUAUUAUGGGGGUUAAAGUCCCCCCGCCUCCU